UAGGGAAUCUUCCGCAAUGGGCGAAAGCCUGACGGAGCAACGCCGCGUGAGUGAUGAAGGUCUUCGGAUCGUAAAACUCUGUUAUUAGGGAAGAACAAAUGUGUAAGUAACUAUGCACGUCUUGACGGUACCUAAUCAGAAAGCCACGGCUAACUACGUGCCAGCAGCCGCGGUAAUACGUAGGUGGCAAGCGUUAUCCGGAAUUAUUGGGCGUAAAGCGCGCGUAGGCGGUUUUUUAAGUCUGGUGUGAAAGCCCACGGCUCAACCGUGGAGGGUCAUUGGAAACUGGAAAACUUGAGUGGAGAAGACGAAAGUGGAAUUCCAUGUGUAGCGGUGAAAUGCGCAGAGAUAUGGAAGAACACCAGUGGCGAAGGCGAUUUUCUGGUCUGUAACUGACGCUGAUGUGCGAAAGCGGGGGGAUCAAACAGG
rnacentral:rRNA from 1 species